GACCCAGAUGAAUUCUUUUCUGCUGUCCACUGCCAGCCAACAGGAGAUUGCUACUCUAGACAACAAGAUGGAGUCUUGCUCUGCCGCUCAGGCUGGAGUGCAAUGGCAUGAUCUUGGCUCACUACGACCUCCGCCUCCUGGGUUCAAGCAAUUCUCCUGUCUCAGCCUCCUGAGUAGCUGGGACUACAGGCACCUGCCACUACGCCCGGCUAAUUUUUGUAUUUUUAGUAGAGACGGAGUUUCACCAUAUUGGUCAGGCUGGUCUUGAACUCCUGACCUCAGGUGAUCCACCCGCUUCGGCCUCCCAAAGUGCUGGGAUCACAGGCGUGAGCCACCGCGCCCGGCCCCAACUAAAUCUUGAAGGACAAAGUGGGUGUUAAUGAAAGGGCAAAAAGGAUAGUAGUGCUGGGGGCAUAGGAGGCAGAAGACGUUCCAGAAAGAGGGAAUAGGGCAUGUAAAGGUCCAGAGAAGAGAGAGAGAGCCUGGUGUCUUAAAGAAGUACGAGCCAUUUAGUAUGCUAGAUGCAGCAUAGAGUGCCGAGGACGGGAUGUUUUGGGAAGGAAAGCUAGAUAGGGAGCCAGAUGCCUAAUUAUGAAGAACCUUUGAUUCAGGGAAAACUGGUUUAUGUUUCAUCCCGAAGACUGUGUAAGACAGCUGGUUGAGAGAUCAUUACCAGUGGAGGGACUGAUGCUAUUUGUAUAUAGAAUGAUCACUUGCAGGAAGGUGGAUGGAGAAUAAUUUGUCAAGAGGGCAGGGCUGGAGGCAGGAAGCCCAGUUAGGAGGCUGGUGCAGUAAUCCAUGUGAGACGUGUUGAGGCCCUAAAUUUACAGUCCCGACAGUGAGGGUGGAGAUAAGUAGAUAGAUUUGAGAGGUGUCAAGGUGGAAUUGAAGGAAUUUGGCCACUGUUUGGAUUAUUAGAGUGAGGGAUGAAUGAGAAGGAAAUGUUAUGAUGCCUCCCAGGUCUCUAGCUUGGGUGGACAGUAGUAUUUACUAUGACUGGGAAGAGGGGAGGAGGAGGAGCAGGUAUUGGAGAAACGGUAGUGAGUUUAAUGUCAAGUUUAAGCAGUUGGAUUGGUUGGAGUAUAGAAGAUAGACUCUGGGCUGCAGACUGGGGACUCAUUACCCUGUCACUGGUAAUGGAAGAUAUACAAGUCAAAGAAAUUGCCGGGAGGAGUAUGCAGAAUGAGAAGAGAGUUGAGAACAAAACCCAGAGAUGAGAGCUUAUGAGACAGCCCCAUAUGCCAGUCCUUUUCUUCCUGAGAACACUUUUGGACCCAUUUGUGCUGUGGAAUCCAUGAGACAAUAGAAACCAUCAACCAGCUGAAGACUCAGCGGGAGUUCAUGCUGAGCUUUGCCAGAGACCCUCAGGGUUUCAUCAAUGACUGGCUUCAGUCCCAGUGCAGGGACCUCAAGACAAUGACUGAUGUGGUGGGUAACCCAGAGGAGGAGCGCCGAGCUGAGUUCUACUUCCAGCCCUGGGCUCAGGAGGCUGUGUGCCGAUACUUCUACUCCAAGGUGCAGCAGAGACGACAAGAAUUAGAGCAAGCCCUGGGAAUCCGGAAUACAUAGGGCCUCUCCCACAGCCCUGAUUCGACUGCACCAAUUCUUGAUUUGGGCCCUGUGCUGCCUGCCUCAUAGUAUCUGCCUUGGUCUUGCUUGGGGCGUUCCAGGGGAUGCUGUUGGUUCAAGGACAACACCAGAAUGAAGAGGGUCUCACAAGACACCUGUUAUCCUCUUCUUUCACCCUAUCUCUUCCCACCCCCAGCUUCCCUUUGCCCCACAAAGUUCCCAUGUGCCUGUACCCUCCCCUGGUCUACAUAGGACCUCUAGAUAGUGUUAGAGAGAGAACAUGUAGUGGUAAUGAGUGCUUGGAAUGGAUUGGGCCUCAGGCCAGGUGGUCUUCAAGGGGACCAGCUAACUGAUCCUGCCCUUCAGAGACCCAGGAGUUGGGAGCUUUCGCUCCUUCUCCAAGACUCAGGCCUGUGGGCACUCUAUAAGCUAGUUGAUCUUGGCUCUCCUGAUAACAGAAUCCAAUUUCCUUCCUUCCCUCCACAGGUUUGGAACAAACUCUCCCUUCACUUGUUGCCCUGUAGCACUACAGAAACCCUGGUUCUUGGGCUCCACUGAGCCCCAGGUCAGUCCCCAGCCCUCUGGGUUGGCCUGCUGUCAGUGCUUCUCUCACUCCUUAGUUGGGGUCCACAUCAGUAUUGGAGUUUUGUUCUUUAUUGCUCCCUCCCAGACACUCCCUGUGGCUGCCCUUUGUGAUUCCCUCAGAUCUGCCCUAAUCCCGGGCAUUUGGGUGGGGGAAUCUUGCCUUUCCCUUUCAGAGCCCCAGGGAUCUCAUCUGGGGAACUGUCAUUGCCAGCAGAGGCUGUUCCUUCCUGCUGUUUGGAGAUGUGACUCAUUCAUUCACUCACUCCACCCUGCCUCUGCAUCCCUUAAUGGAGAAACGGGCCUAAAACCAAACGGGUAAAAAGCCCUGGGCCAUCCCUGUCUUCCUGUCCCUUGUCUGCCCAGUUGACACCUACUGGUGACUUCUAGGGCACUGAGGAGUGAAAGCGCCUAGGGCUGGAGAAUAGCGCUGAGUUGGGUUUGUGACUCUUCCCUCUCCCUGCCUCACAGGAUUGUGACUCCCCAGCCCCUGCCCUCAAAGCUUCAGACCCCUCAGGUAGCAGCAGGACCUUGUGAUCUUGGCCCCUUGGAUCUGAGAUGGUUUUUGCAUCUUUCCAGGAGAGCCUCACAUUCUUCUUCCAGGUUGUAUCACCCCCGAGUUAGCAUAUCCCAGGCUCGCAGACUCAACACAGCAAGGGUGGGAGACAGCUGGGCACAAAGGGGGAAUUCCGUUCAGCAUGGGCUCUAAACCCACAGAACUGACAAAGCCCCUGCU
rnacentral:lncRNA from 10 species